rnacentral:rRNA from 1 species
GCAGGCUGCAACUCGCCUGCAUGAAGUCGGAAUUGCUAGUAAUCGCAGAUCAGCAUGCUGCGGUGAAUACGUUCCCGGGCCUUGUACACACCGCCCGUCACACCAUGGGAGCCGGUAAUACCCGAAGUCAGUAGUCCAACCACGUGAGGACGCUGCCGAAGGUAGGAUUGGCGACUGGGGUGAAGUCGUAACAAGGUAUC